rnacentral:rRNA from 1 species
AAUCUUCCGCAAUGGACGCAAGUCUGACGGAGCAACGCCGCGUGAGUGAUGAAGGUUUUCGGAUCGUAAAGCUCUGUUGCCAGGGAAGAAUAGGCUUGGGAGUAACUGCCCAAGCUGUGACGGUACCUGAGAAGAAAGCCCCGGCUAACUACGUGCCAGCAGCCGCGGUAAUACGUAGGGGGCAAGCGUUGUCCGGAAUUAUUGGGCGUAAAGGGCACGCAGGCGGUGGUUUAAGUUUGGUGUUUAAUCCCAGGGCUCAACCCUGGUACGCACUGAAAACUGGAUCACUUGAGUGCAGAAGAGGAGAGUGGAAUUCCACGUGUAGCGGUGAAAUGCGUAGAGAUGUGGAGGAACACCAGUGGCGAAGGCGACUCUCUGGUCUGUAACUGACGCUGAGGUGCGAAAGCGUGGGUAGCAAACA